rnacentral:rRNA from 1 species
CACGUAGGGUGCGAGCGUUGUCCGGAAUUAUUGGGCGUAAAGGGCUCGUAGGCGGUUUGUCGCGUCGGGAGUGAAAAUCCAGGGCUUAACUCUGGACUGGCUUCCGAUACGGGCAGACUAGAGGUAUGCAGGGGAGAACGGAAUUCCUGGUGUAGCGGUGAAAUGCGCAGAUAUCAGGAGGAACACCGGUGGCGAAGGCGGUUCUCUGGGCAUUACCUGACGCUGAGGAGCGAAAGUGUGGGGAGCGAACAGG